CUGUCAUAUCACGUUGAAACACCAGUUCUCGCAUGCCCACCGAAGUUAAGCAACGUCGAGUCUGGGCAGUACUUAGAUAAGUGACCGCUUGUGAAUACUAAGUGCUGUAA